GACGAACGCUGGCGGCGUGCUUAACACAUGCAAGUCGAACGGAAAGGCCCUGCUUUUGUGGGGUGCUCGAGUGGCGAACGGGUGAGUAACACGUGAGUAACCUGCCCUUCACUUUGGGAUAACUUCAGGAAACUGGGGCUAAUACCGGAUAGGAGCUCCUGCUGCAUGGUGGGGGUUGGAAAGUUUCGGCGGUUGGGGUUGGACUCGCGGCUUAUCAGCUUGUUGGUGGGGUAGUGGCUUACCAAGGCUUUGACGGGUAGCCGGCCUGAGAGGGUGACCGGCCACAUUGGGACUGAGAUACGGCCCAGACUCCUACGGGAGGCAGCAGUGGGGAAUAUUGCACAAUGGGCGGAAGCCUGAUGCAGCAACGCCGCGUGCGGGAUGACGGCCUUCGGGUUGUAAACCGCUUUCGCCUGUGACGAAGCGUGAGUGACGGUAAUGGGUAAAGAAGCACCGGCUAACUACGUG
rnacentral:rRNA from 1 species